rnacentral:rRNA from 1 species
UACGUAGGGUGCGAGCGUUGUCCGGAAUUAUUGGGCGUAAAGGGCUCGUAGGCGGUUUGUCGCGUCGGGAGUGAAAACCUUGGGCUUAACUCAGGGCUUGCUUUCGAUACGGGCAGACUAGAGGUAUGCAGGGGAGAACGGAAUUCCUGGUGUAGCGGUGAAAUGCGUAGAUAUCAAGAGGAACACCUGAGGUGAAGACGGGUUGCUGGGCUGACACUGACGCUGAAGCGCGAAAGCUAGGGGAGCAAACGGG